CCUGGCCAAAUAAAAGCAAGGAAUCCCGAAGGAGCCGCCUCUCGCUUCCCCACACACCCCCUCCCGGAUCCCUGAUUGCUAAAUCUUUGCGGGCGGGUUUGCAUUUCAAUGGAUGGGAUAAAGAGGGAUCUUUGCAGCCCGUUCCUGUGCAAGUUAUCCUUUCUGCACCUCAGGCCAGAGGACCGUCUCCAGCUUGGCACUUUCCAAAUCGAUUGGCAUUCCUAACUCUAAGGAAUUCUAGGAGUAUAAUUGCCAGAGCAGAAGAGAAUAUGCAAGAGAAACGUCCAUAGCAAGGUGAAGUGCACUGCAUGUAACAAAGUGCAAUACAAAAGGUGCUUUUUUCUUUCAGCGGGAUCCAACUGUCAACUUUGAAACUGACCCCUGCUACUGCAGCCAUCUUUAUAUUUCUCAGCUUGCCACACUGGGAGUGGGGGGGAGAGGCUUGGAAUGUCACACCAGACAAUAACAGAUCAUCCCGUGGGAACCAAAGACAUCCCCAUUGGUGCUGGCCAGAGAUUGGAAGGAGUUACCCGGAAGACACCAGAACACCUAAUUGGACAAUGUGACCUGUGACAAGGAGGGAGGGGAAUAUCUAUUCUUUAAUUAUAUGAAAACCACAGGAAUUAUUUAGAGUUGGUUUUGCUUUCAUGCAUGCCAAAAUGAUGUAAUCAAUAAAACAGAUCUUAAAAGAGAUCUAAUAAGAGUGCAGAGAAGAGCAACCAAGAUGAUUAGGGGACUGGAGGCUAAAACAUACAUGAAUGGUUGCAGGAACUGGGCAUGGAUAGUCUAGUGAAAAGAAGGACCAGGGGAGACAUGAUAGCAGUGUUCCAAUAUUUGAGGGGCUUACACAGAGAGGAAGUGGUCAAGCUAUUUUCCAAAGCCUCUGAAGGCCAGACAAAGAAUAAUGGAUGGAAAUUGAACAAGGAGAGAUUCAACCUAGAAAUAAGGAGAGAUUUUCUGACAAUGAGAGCAAUCAACCAAUGGAACAGCUUGCCUUCAGAAAUUGUGGGAAUGUCAUCACUGGAAGCUUUCAAAAAAAGACUGGACUGCCAUCUGUCAGAAAUGGUGUAGAGUCUCCUUGGGUGGGAGGUUAGACUAGAUGACCUACAAGGUCUCUUCCAACUCUGUUAAUCUGUUAGGCUUGGUUGGGUUUGUCAGUUGGAACCUUGACAGAUGUCUUCAAAUAGAAGGACUGUCCUCUAAAGCAGAACAUGUAGCCUUUCUACUUGAUAAACUUCAUGUGGAAAAAAGUCCAUUCCUGUUGCUUGAUAGAGUUCAUAUGGGAAGAGAGUCCAUUCCUGAUGCUAAGGAAUUUUGUGUUCUCUUGUUCCAACAAGCACUGAAUCCCGCACUGUCCUUGAUCUCAGGAGAAUGAGGCAGACAAGAAUGCUAAAUCCUAACUGUACAGAGCAAGAAUUAUAGGUCUAAUAAUACCACUAUUGUGACAGACAUGGGAGGCUCCUUUGGGCCUGGAAGAAUUCCUCAGAGAAAACAGCCUCAGAAUCCCAUUCUCAAUGUAUCUGACUAGCUAAAAAAGAAGCUGUUUCAUAUCAGACCACAAACUGUUUUUUUUUUCUAAUUUAGGAACUGUGGGGAGAGAAGAACAUGUUAGCACCUUUUUAUCUCCCCGUUUUUUCAUCUCCAAAAGCUGAAUCCAUGAAAGGAAGAAACAAUAAAAGUGUGUGUUGUUGGAAGUGAGCUAUUCUUGAUUGACAAAUUAGGGGCUCAAUGGAACUAAUUAAAUCUGACCUUGGGCCUCUUCUGGAAAAUAAGAAUAUUAGAGCCUUCUUCCCAUGCUGUUAAAAUACUUUGAUUCCUCCAUUGAUCAACUGAAUGUGCUUUGCUUCUCUUCUUCAGGCAGUAAUGACUCAGUUUGGAAUCACAGAUAUUUUUCUACUAAUGAAGAACUUUAGCAUGAGGUCAUCAGGAAAGGUAGGGAGCAAUUCCUGUUAAAAGAGGACUGCAGACUCCAGUGAUAGCAAUGGAUGAAAAUUUGUUUGCCUGCAAAUACUAUUUUUACCUUCUUAUACUUUUGUUCAUUCGUCUAAAAUUGUGUGAUAUUUAAAAUGAACAAGAAAAAAAUUGAUCAAAUAUGAUUUCAACAUAAUUUCAAAUUGUCUUUGGAUUUGGGAUCCUAAAGGGAUUAUCUGAUAUCAAUUCCUCAAACACUUAAUAGUUAAUAAAGUUAUUCAGGCACAAUUCUUAACAGAAUUCCUAAACCCUUUUCUUCAAUGCUACGUACAUACAAACACAAGGUGGGUUCACAAUCUGCGCUAAGAAUAACGUGGGUGGCCAUGGUUGUAGCAUAAAUCACAAGUAGUUGGGUUUACAUAUCACGCUAAGCAAAAACGAUUUAAUAUUUAUUUAACCAUAAAGAUUGGGUUAAUUCCACAUGCAAAGCCACAAACACUGUAAGCCCCAUAAUGACUCAAUGUGUCAAGUAGAUCAUCAGAAUUUGUUGAAGCUCGUCUAUCAUGUCAGUGGCCACUAAUGAAUCAUCAGAACAGUUAUUUAACGUUUGUAGGGCCAUACAUUUUCCUUGCUUUAAAUAACUGGUAAAUAGAAUUAUAGUAAAUAGAAUCUAAGUCCCGAUGAACUAUAACAUAGACAAAUUACAAAAAAGCCUUUGGUUAUGUCAGUUUCUCCCUAUCUGGUAUUCCCUGAUGGGAUUACAGCUCUCAGAAUUCCAGGAAUUGUUGGCUCAAAAUAUCUGAGGGCAUCAGGUUGCGGGAACCUGUAAUAUCCUAAAGAUUCCAUUACAAAGGGAUAUAAAAUGAACUCAAUAUGUGCCACUGUUUUCCACCAUGACCUAAUGAGGAAAUCAGUAGCCAACUGCAUAUCUUCCAUUUUAAAGAUCUCAAGGUCAAUACUUGCCAUCUCUGUUUAAGGUACCCCAAAUAAUAUGGCUGGCAUGAUCUGUCUGAUAGCCUAUGAGGCUCUUAAAGCACUACCUAUUAAGAAACUAUUG